rnacentral:rRNA from 1 species
CUCGACAAACACACCGCCAAAAGAGUUACAUCGAAUAAAUCUCCAAGAUGAUCGAGGAGAACAUGGUAUUGAGAUCCAAGAAGAGAGAAGAAGUCAUCUAGCUAAUAACUAUGGACUCGAAGGUCUGUGGUAAACUACUCACAACUCAUCGGAGGGGCUAUGAUGUUGAUGUAGAAGCCCUCCGUGGUCGAUUCCCCCUCCGGCGGAGUGUCGGCGAAGUCUCCAAGAUGGAAUCUCGCGGAUACAGAAGGUUACGGCGGUGAAAAUUGUUUUUCGUUGGCUCCCUGGAUGUUUUCGGGGUACGUGGGUAUAUAUAGGAGGAAGAAGUAGGUCGGUGGCCGCCCGAGGGGCCCACGAGAUAGCGGGCGUGCCCUGUAGGGGUGGGCGCACCCUCCACCCUCGUGGCCGCCUCGGCUGCUUCUUGGCUUGCACUCCAAGUCCUCUGUAUCACGUUUGUUCCAAAAGUCACGCUUCCGAAGGUUUCAUUCCGUUUGCCGUUUGGACUCUGUUUGAUAUUCCUUUUCUUCGAAAUACUGAAAUAGGCAAAAAAACAGCAAUACGGGCUGGGCCUCCGGUUAGUAAGUUAGUCCCAAAAAUGAUAUAAAUGUGUAAAAUAAAGCCCAUAAACAUCCAAAACGGGUAAUAUAAUAGUAUGGAACAAUCAAAAAUUAUAGAUACGUUGGAGACGUAUCACCGCCCCCCUCGUCUCAUGGCCAUCAAGAUCGUUGUAACUUCUACUGCGGCUGCAGCUCUACCACUGGCUGGUUCCAGCGCAUGGUCCAUGUGGUUGUAGCAAAAAUCUCUCACGUCACCGGCUCCAGCUCACCACCAUCAUCGACUAGCACCGCCAUGAUCCAGUAAAACAAUCUUGGUAACAAAACCUCCCAAAUGAUCAGUUGAAGCAAAACAAAGAGGUGGUUCCAGCCAACAAUAACACCGGUUGUAGCAAAAAUCACAUGAAGCAAAUCCAAAAAAGAGAAGCCGAUGUAGCAAAAAAAAGCAUGUUCAAGCAAAACAAAAAGCUGGUUCCAGCAAAAACCAUGUCGGCGAGGCGUCCAGUCCCAACAAAAAUCAGAAAGCAAAAAAAAAAACAUAAGAACAAUCGAUGUAGCAAAAAUACUAGCAGGUUCCAGCAAACAUUAAGCUGGUUCCAGCAAAGAAACCUGUAUCGUCUGAGAGAGGAGCGUCCUGUUGUAGCAAAAAUCACAGGAAGCAAAAUUCAGAAAAAAAGAGUAUAUGUAGCAAAAACACUAGCAAGUUCCAGCAAAAGCAUAAAGCUGGUUCCAGCAUAACCCAAGUCGGCGGUGAGAGAAGAGCACCAGUGGACGCCAGUUCAGCUCUACAAGACAUAGGUUACAACUCUGCCGGUGAGGAUUGCACCAAAAAAACAUCCCGUCAGCUGUGGGGGGGCAUGGCACUAGUACCCGCGGAUCCAGCACGCCGUCCCGCCGCGUGUUCCCCGUCGCCACCCAUAUGCAUCACCACAGCAUCUCUGCGCCGGUCGCCUCGCGCACCAUGAGGCACAAUGCUCGUGCGGAAGAGGAGAGGGGUGAGCAGGGGGCUGGUUCGAGCUUGCAGGGAUGGCCAUCGUCGGCAAGGAGAGGGACUAGGAUUGGGAGGCUGGAAGCGAUGCUGUGGAG